GGCCAUAAAUAUAUAGGGAAAAUAACGAUUGCUUUCACUGACACCGCCGAAGGCGGUUUGCGCCGAGCGCAGCGAGACAACGUUGCGAAUGCAACGGCCCGAAGGGGGCUUACGCAGUAAGCCUAAUCCUCUCUCGCCGACCA
rnacentral:sRNA from 1 species